AUUGAACGCUGGCGGCAGGCCUAACACAUGCAAGUCGAACGAGCGGCGGACGGGUGAGUAAUGUCUGGGGAUCUGCCCGAUGGAGGGGGAUAACUACUGGAAACGGUAGCUAAUACCGCAUACCAUCAGAUGCGCCCAGAUGGGAUUAGCUUGUUGGUGGGGUAACGGCUCACCAAGGCGACGAUCCCUAGCUGGUCUGAGAGGAUGAACAGCCACACUGGGACUGGGAAACGGUCCAGACUCCUACGGGAGGCAGAAGUGGGGAAUAUUGCACAAUGGGCGCAAGCCUGAUGCAGCCAUGCCGCGUGUAUGAAGAAGGCCUUAGGGUUGUAAAGUACUUUCAGCGGGGAGGCGUUACCCGCAGAAGAAGCACCGGCUAACUCCGUGCCAGCAGCCGCGGUAAUUC
rnacentral:rRNA from 1 species